rnacentral:rRNA from 1 species
GCCUACGGGAGGCUGCAGUGAGGAAUAUUGGUCAAUGGGCGCGAGCCUGAACCAGCCAAGUAGCGUGAAGGAUGACUGCCCUACGGGUUGUAAACUUCUUUUAUAAAGGAAUAAAGUGAGGCACGGGUGCCUUUUUGUAUGUACUUUAUGAAUAAGGAUCGGCUAACUCCGUGCCAGCAGCCGCGGUAAUACGGAGGAUCCGAGCGUUAGCCGGAUUUAUUGGGUUGAAAGGGAGCGUAGAUGGGUUGUUAAGUCAGUUGUGAAAGUUUGCGGCUCAACCGUAAAAUUGCAAUUGAUACUGGCAGUCUUGAGUACAGUUGAGGUAGGCGGAAUUCGUGGUGUAGCGGUGAAAUGCUUAGAUAUCUGGAGGAACAUCAGUGGCGAAGGCGACUAUCUGGCACAUAACUGACGCUGAGGAGCGAAAGCGUGGGUAGCAAACAGGAUUAGAUACCCCAGUAGUC